UUCCUUUUCCCUAGCUGAUUUGGUUGAUUCAGGUUCCCUGCGGCUUGUCUUCCUCAACAGAGUUUCUGCCCUCCCCGGUGGAGUUUGUGUUCCUUCAGCAUUGGCUUAUCCAAAAUUUGAAGAUCAGCAGAAUGCAGUUACUUGCCAUAAUCCCUAAUUUUUGCAUAAGUUGCCCCAAGGUGUGGUACUCAACUUAUCGGGAAUUUUUUUCUAUUUUUAUGUCUCUAAUUUUU
rnacentral:lncRNA from 1 species